ensembl:lncRNA
CUUGGAUGCCCAUGUGCACCACCUCCGGUACUACCAGAGUGAUGACUCCUCCUGUGCUGAGUGUCAGCUGAGCAUGUGGAUUGGGAAAUGGGCCCCUCCCAAGCCCAAGCUUGACUGGAAUCUUAUAAAAGGUUCUCCCAGCUGUCCACUGCUCAGUCCAUUGCCUACCUGCAGCAGGUGUCACCUUCUGCUUGGAGAGCUGAGUGAGUCUUCCAGUGGAGCCGGCUUCUGGUUCGCCUUGAGGAGGUCAAGCAUGUCCCAGCAGGGUGCAUCGUCCGCCAAAGGCUUCUCCAAGGGGUCUUCGCAGGGCCCCACUCCGUGCCCCGCCCCGGCGCCGGCUCCGGUGCCCUCCCGCUCCUCUUCUUGCUGCGGCGGCUGCUGUGGAGACACCGGCUGCUGCGGCUCCGGCUCCACCGGCUGCUGCUGCUUCCCCAGGAGGCGCCGCCGGCAGCGCGGGGGCUGCUGCUGCUGCAGGAGCAGCCAGAGAUCGCAGGGCUCCUGCAAUAACCACAGCUCAGGCUGCUGCGGAGGCUGCUGAGCUGGCCGAGCCCACGCUGAGCCCAGCGCGACCCCUCCCCGUGUGUGUGACAGCUCCGGGCGGGCUGGGCCUCCGAGUCAGACUCCGCAAAGCUAACUGCACUCCGAUGCCCUGGAGCCCACUGUGUCCUCAGUCCCAGUGGGAUGUCCCUCUGGGGGUCUGCGGGCCGCGGAUGGAACCCUGGACUCUAGUAUGUGCAGGGGCCCGUACGCAGCAGGUGCUUAAAACGUGCCCACUGAGUUGUCCUGUGAAGACGCCAUAAUAAAGCUUCUACCUGCUGAGAACACUUCUUUCCCUGUUCAUUUCCUCAUCGUGUGUUUAUUAGCCUUACUUUAUUACCUCAUUCACGACCACUCACAGGAGGUAAAAGAAGAAAAACUUUAUGCUGGAAAAAGCAUGUGGCCUUCUGGUAGUUAACUGCAAUAGCCGGGAUUACCUAUCAACUCUCCUAGGUAUUCUAAGAAUUUUUCGAGGCAAGCGUCAUCAGAUUUCCCGGAUGACUCACUAAGUGGGUGUUGUUGCGCCCGUUUUGUAGAAGAGAAACUGAGGUUAAGUACUCUGCAGUCACUUAGGCUUGCCUGCUGAGGAGGACUGGACAUGUGAUUCCAGGGCUUGCUCUGCCACCGCUCUGCUCUGCGGGGGCCCCAGCCACACACCCUCUGUGUGGCUGAGGUUCGGAUGGGAAACUUCAGGGGACUUUGGACGCAGGGCCGCUGAGGUUUGUUUGUUAUUGCUUUUGUUUUGUUUCUUGUCAGGGAGGAUCCUCGAGCCUGGCUCAGUGUGGAGACUUUCUAAACUGUGCCUUUCCAGAGACUAGAGCUGCCUCCCCCUUGUAGCCCAGGGAGGGUCAGGACCCCAGGGAUGUGACAUGCUGUGCUCAGAAAAGCACCAACCUCCUUUCCUGGUAAGGGUGGUGGUGCCAUCAUGAAUAGGACAGAAGCCCGGCGGUGGGCCAGGGUUUGAUGGCUCACUGUAGGGGAGAGGAAGUACCAGGAAGAGCCUUCCACAUGGUGUCAGCUGGGUUCAGAGAGGAGGAAAUCAUAAUGGUGAUAAUCAUAGGUAAUAAAGUAGCUACUAACUUUGUUCCAGACACAUGCUGAGGCACCUUAUAUAUUAUGUCACUUAAUCCGCAUGUAAUCUCUCAAAAAUAGACAUUGACUCCUCUCUCUUUAUAUAUUGGGGUUCAAGGAGUUUCAGUGAUUUGGCUCAGAGAUGCACAGGUAGCCUCUGACACCGAGUGAUAGAUUUGAGAUUCGAACUGAAGACCUUAACACCAAAGUGGAUGCUCUCGUGCCCACUGUCACGCUCUACAACCUUAGAAAUCACCGCCUCGCAGGGGAAGAGGUACUUGAGAGACACACCCAGGCUCUUAGGAAAUUACAGCUUGGCUUCUCAGCCACUGUGGUAUUCAUGAUCGAGUGACUGGAGCGCUCUGACACAGCAUCCACCCAAAGGCAUCUACUCGAGGUAGCUCCUCGGAGACAAGGUCAGAAAUGUUCACUGAUUCAUCAGGCUGUUUAAAGCUGAGGUCAAGCAACCCCCAUGAAGGAGGCUCGCAAGGGCAGCCUGCCAUGCACGGGAGUGGCCCUCGCUUCCAUCCCUGAGAUUCUGUGGUUCCCCGUGGGAGGGGACUGGUGGAAGCUGUUAGUAAACAGAUGACGCCACCCAGGACCUGCCUCCUCCACACGAGGAGCGUGAGGUGCGUGGCAGCAACAGACCCUGGGAUUGGUGGACUGAGUCAGGAAGGGAAACAGCUUGACUCAGAGCAGACUGGAAAGCCAACCGAGGGCCAGGGGCAGCCCCAGAGCAGGAAGCCGAAGCUGAGUAUUGGGAAAGAAAGUGGCUUACCAGGAGACACGUGAAUGUGAACGGGAAUACAUCCCUGUGCACAUGAGGCGCGUGGACGGUGUUGCGUGGCUCACUGUGAGGGUGGCAGCAGCAGGGGUCCCACGCAUUGCUGAAGCCCCGCAAGCACACAGCAGGGAGACAGAUGGUUUCAGGGUUCCGCCCUCACUGGCAACUUGAGGCCAUGAGUGUUUAAGGGCUGCUUCCAGGUACCUUGGCCACCAGACACUUUCACUAACUACCCCCUUUCUCUGAAAAUAAGACCGGGCUGGAAAAUAAUCAGCCUUGGAAACGAGAGAUGAAAAGUGCCUAAGUCAGCCCAUCUGGCCUUCCCCGGCGUCAGUGUUCUCCUGCUCGGUGGCUGCUGUGUAAGGCGGGGAAGGCAGGAUGGGCUGAUGGGGGCUGGCAGUUUUCAUCUCUCGUUUUCAAGGCUGAUUAUUUUCCAGCCCGGUCUUGUUUUCAGGAAAAGAGGGUACUAAAAGAGUAGCUUUGCGUCUAGUCACUCAGCACACUGAAUUGCUAGGGCGAUCAAUAGCAUGCUCGAAGCUUGGCAUUAUUUUAUUCACUUCUUGCAACUUCCCCGCAAGAUAAGUUUCCUCCACUUUUUCUUGGUAAGAAAACUGGUACACGGGACUGUUGGUUAGCUCAUAAAUGGCAGAAUAAGGCUUUGGGCUUGAUGUUUCUGGUUCCCAAAUCAACCUUUUCAACCAAAUUCUAUACUACGCAUUUCGGGGACGAAGAGGAAUAGCUGUGUACUUGACGGAUGAAGGAGAAAGGGGGUCUGAGGGCAUGGUGGUGGGGUAGAAAAAUCCUUGUGGCACAUUCUCAGAGAGGGAGAGAGGAAACCAGGUCAAGAAUGAUUUGAGCACCAAUUAAAGGAAUUUAAAUGCUAUAUUUGCGGUGUAAUAGGAAAAUAGUGCUGAAAGAAAUACUUCAAAGAGGUAGGAGUUGACCCACAUAGCAUCUACAGUGGUCUUGGCCAUGCCCUUAAGAUUAACCAGGUGCAAGAGUUGGCGUGCUCUAGAGUGAUGUGUCCAGAGCAAUACCACUGUGGGCAGGAGCAAUGGCCUGGGCUUGCCGCGGGAGUCUGAACCCUGCACACAGGGUGAGUCAGAAAAGGAAAUGAUAGACAUGCAAAGCACUUGUCUGGAAGGAAGGAGAAUAGAUAAAGUUGGGUGCAGUGUUGGGAUGAGGAUGGGACUGCGACUCCAGAUACAGAGUCCUUGAGAACUGGAAUGAACACAGCUGAGAUAAAUACUAAGACGCCGUACAAAGGUGGGAGCCAGUCUUAGUGAAUGGAUGUGGUUUCGCUUCUGCAGCGAAAGAUACGAGCCAACAGACGGCUCUGUCUUUUGCAGCCCAGAGAUCUCCGUGUAAAGAACAAAAAUGGAGACGCUGGGGUGCACAAGGACUAUGUGGUGAGAAAUGAAUAAAUGAAUGGGCAAAACAGACACCUACGAGGUUAGCUGAGGAGGAGACCAAACGGUGAGGGAGAAGCUGAGUUACACGCGAAGAGGACGAAGACAAUGGAGUCCGAGAAAUCCCUCAGAGACGUGGCCUAGACAGUUUGUAAGGCUCUGGCUCUAGAAAUCCAGGCGGAAGAGAACCAAGAUUGCAGAAGCUGGAGGGUGUCGCACGCUCAGACAGGAUCUCACUGAGUUGCCCGGACAGGACUGAAACUUGUGGUUCUCCUUGCUCAGCUUCCAUAAAUGUGGGAAUUACAAGAGUGCACCUCUGUGGCCAGCUUUAAUUUUCUCUUGUGGAGGAAGGUUUCCUUUUAGAAGCAUGAAGGAUAUUCCAGAAACCACUAUUCUAAAUCAUUUCAACAUAUAGUCAGCGCUCUGUCCACAGGUUCUGUGUCCAUGGAUUCAAACAACUGCAUUGAAAAUAUGUUUUAAAAGUUGCCUUUGUACUAAACAUGUGCAGAAUUUGUAAAAUUUUCACUAUGCCCUCAACAAUCCACAACGACAACUAUUUAUGUUGCAUUUACAUUGUGUUAGGUAUUAUAAAUAAUCUAGCACUGAUGUAAAGUAUGGGAGAAUGUGCGUAGGUUAGGU